CCUCAUCAUGAGAGGACACACUCUCCUUAGUUCCACAAAAACUAAAGAGAAUGAAACUGAGAGGCUGUGAAGAGCAUUCAAAAGAGGUAUAUUUCUCUCUCAGUAUAAUAUUCAUCAUUUCUUCUUGUUUACAAAUUUUGCAACACUUUUACAUAAUGAAUAUUGCAUCAUUCAUUUCUUGCAAAUUAUAAGAUUAGUUUCUUAUUAAUUUUUGAGAGAUUCUAAUUACGAAUGUCUUCCAUAUAUUUUUCUGAGGAUAAGGCGGUGAUAAUAAUGGGUGCAAUAGGGUCUGGUAAGUCUAGGCUUUUCAUAGAUCUAGCCAAUUCAUUUUUGAUAGAGGCUGAGAAGUGAGAAAUGCAAGUGUACAAACGUCUUGAUAUAGUUACACACAACUCUGUCUCUGUGGAAACUAGCAUGCAAAGUUCUUCGCAAAUCAACGAAGGGUCUUCAGUUCUGCCUUGUGCAUCAUUCUCGGUAAAAAUAUUACCACAUUCGUGACUAUAUAUUGUCCUUUGUACACUUGCAUUUUGUCACUAAUCACAACCUCUGCUGGAAAAUGAUAGCUAUAGAUCAAAAAGUCUAGAAUUUUUAGUCCUUAUUGCUUUCAUAAUUAUCACUAUCUUGUCCUUUGGUGAAAAAAUAUAUGAAGGAAUCUAUAGUUAGAACCUCUCAGAAACUUAUAAGAGGCUGACCUUGUUUGCGAGAAACAAAUGAUGCAAUACUCAUAAUGCAGAAGUUACAAAUCUGUAAACAAUAAGAAAAUUGAUGAAGCAAAGAGACUGUGAAGAGAACUGAAAACUUGAGUAUCUCGAUCUUUCGCAGAGGACUCUUGCUACAGAUACAUUUUUAUUAUAGAACUAGCAUAGACUGAAGGCGUCCAUUAAUGUCGAAAAGAUUGGGUUAGUAAAGUGAAGGCCAAAGUUUUCGAGAGUUGCCAUUAUGUCCAUCAAUAAUAUGAGUGAGAAGAGAUCUGCGGCAGAUAGAAUUAGCAAUAUUCCUUGUGAUGUUAAAAGCACAAGUACAAAGGGGUGGUACGUUCCGAACUAGUGUUUUGAUGGUAACAUUUGUUAGUGUUAUGAUUUUAAUGAUGACAAAUUGUUGUGUCGGUAUACUCAAAGGUUCAACCAAACCCAUUGAACAUAAAAGCCCAAUGAACAAAAAAAGUUCAGUUAGCUGCAAAGGAGUACAAGCCCAAGUCGGCUGCAUAAGGAAAGUAUCUCAAGGCACGAAGAAAAUAAGCUCAUGCUUAUUUUUGGAACAAGGAUCAGAUUUUACUCAAGCAAUCAAAUCAGUACAAUCGUAGAGAUUCAAGCAUUAAAUCAAAUCUGCAUAUACAAGGAAACAAGUACCAUUCAAACAAGGCAAAUGACGCAUAAGGAAAGCAGUUGUACAACAUUGAUUAGCCAUCAAGGACACAUAAGGAAACAAGUAUCUACUAAAUAAGGGUGAUGCCACAGAAGGAAAGAAGCGUUACAGAUUAAUAAGUUCUUGCUUUAUUCUUAGAAAUUAGGAUCCUCAAUAUUCCUAAUUUACAAGGAUCAAUUCUCUUGGGUUGACAUCUCUACUAAAAAAGAGUCUAACGGCUAGUUGAUUUGAAGACUAUAUAUUCAAGACUCUAGAGACGAAGAAAAACAUACUGUCGUCUCAUACUCUCAAGCUUUCUGCUUUACUUUUCACAAACAUUGUAUUCUUGAGUGAUAUAGUGUAAACAAAAAAGAAAAGAGAGAUAGUAUAAUUUGUGAGGCAUUGUAUCAAAAAGAUUACAAGUGUUUGAGUGUAGACAUGGGAGCUCCAUUCAAACAAACCAUGUACCAAUCCAUUUACAAAGAGCUGCAGAGAAAAUCUUUGCAACCCAAGGGAACUGGACUAGGAUUCACAUUGAAUCUGAACCAGUAUAAAAUACCUGGUGUCAUUUA